rnacentral:miRNA from 1 species
GGAGGAUGGGAGGGAGGAGUAACGAAAGUGAAAACAAAAACUUGAAAGUGAAAACAAUUUCAAAUAGAUUUCAAUUUUUAGUUUUUGUUUUCACUUUUGUUACUCCUCCCUCACAUCCUCCCCU